rnacentral:rRNA from 1 species
GAUGAACGCUGGCGGCGUGCCUAAUACAUGCAAGUCGAGCGAACGGACGGGAAGCUUGCUUCUCUGAUGUUAGCGGCGGACGGGUGAGUAACACGUGGAUAACCUACCUAUAAGACUGGGAUAACUUCGGGAAACCGGAGCUAAUACCGGAUAAUAUUUUGAACCGCAUGGUUCAAAAGUGAAAGACGGUCUUGCUGUCACUUAUAGAUGGAUCCGCGCUGCAUUAGCUAGUUGGUAAGGUAACGGCUUACCAAGGCAACGAUGCAUAGCCGACCUGAGAGGGUGAUCGGCCACACUGGAGCUGAGACACGGUCCAGACUCCUACGGGAGGCAGCAGUAGGGAAUCGUCCGCAAUGGGCGAAAGCCUGACGGAGCAACGCCGCGUGAGUGAUGAAGGUCUUCGGAUCGUAAAACUCUGUUAUUAGGGAAGAACAUAUGUGUAAGUAACUGUGCACAUCUUGACGGUACCUAAUCAGAAAGCCACGGCUAACUACGUG